rnacentral:rRNA from 1 species
UGGGGAAUUUUGGACAAUGGGCGAAAGCCUGAUCCAGCAAUGCCGCGUGUGUGAAGAAGGCCUUCGGGUUGUAAAGCACUUUUGUCCGGAAAGAAAUCCUCUGGGUUAAUACCUCGGGGGGAUGACGGUACCGGAAGAAUAAGCACCGGCUAACUACGUGCCAGCAGCCGCGGUAAUACGUAGGGUGCAAGCGUUAAUCGGAAUUACUGGGCGUAAAGCGUGCGCAGGCGGUUUUGUAAGACGGAUGUGAAAUCCCCGGGCUUAACCUGGGAACUGCAUUCGUGACUGCAAGGCUAGAGUAUGGCAGAGGGGGGUAGAAUUCCACGUGUAGCAGUGAAAUGCGUAGAGAUGUGGAGGAAUACCGAUGGCGAAGGCAGCCCCCUGGGCCAAUACUGACGCUCAUGCACGAAAGCGUGGGGAGCAAACAGGAUUAGAUACCCUGGUAGUCCACGCCCUAAACGAUGUCAACUAGUUGUUGGGGAUUCAUUCCUUAGUAACGUAGCUAACGCGUGAAGUUGACCGCCUGGGGAGUACGGUCGCAAGAUUAAAACUUAAAUGAAUUGACGGGGUCAUAGCUGUUUCCU